rnacentral:rRNA from 1 species
UACAGAGGUCUCAAGCGUUGUUCGGAUUCAUUGGGCGUAAAGGGUGCGUAGGCGGGGUUUUAAGUCAGGGGUGAAAUCCUGGAGCUCAACUCCAGAACUGCCUUUGAUACUGAAGAUCUUGAGUUCGGGAGAGGUGAGUGGAACUGCGAGUGUAGAGGUGAAAUUCGUAGAUGUUCGCAAGAACACCAGUGGCGAAGGCGGCUCACUGGCCCGAUACUGACGCUGAGGCACGAAAGCGUGGGGAGCAAACAGG